rnacentral:rRNA from 1 species
ACGAACGCUGGCGGCGUGCUUAACACAUGCAAGUCGAACGGAAAGGCCCUUCGGGGUACUCGAGUGGCGAACGGGUGAGUAACACGUGGGUGAUCUGCCCUGCACUUUGGGAUAAGCCUGGGAAACUGGGUCUAAUACCGAAUAUGAUCAUCGGCUUCAUGGUCGGUGGUGGAAAGCUUUUGCGGUGUGGGAUGGGCCCGCGGCCUAUCAGCUUGUUGGUGGGGUAAUGGCCUACCAAGGCGGCGACGGGUAGCCGGCCUGAGAGGGUGACCGGCCACACUGGGACUGAGAUACGGCCCAGACUCCUACGGGAGGCAGCAGUGGGGAAUAUUGCACAAUGGGCGCAAGCCUGAUGCAGCGACGCCGCGUGAGGGAUGACGGCCUUCGGGUUGUAAACCUCUUUCAGCACAGACGAAGCGCAAGUGACGGUAUGUGCAGAAGAAGAACCGGCCAACUACGUG